GGAGGGGGUCUGGGGUGCCCUCAGAUCCCUUGUGAUGGCGUUGAGGACUGGCGGUCCCGGGGCCGGGUGGACGGCCCAGCGGCCCCGGCUCACCUGAGCAGGGAGGCUGGCUUUCCAGGUGCAGGAGGGCGUGGAGGCUCAGUCCUGCUCACCCAUGGGGUCUGAGGAGUCUGUGAUGAUAACGUCAAAGGCGUCUUGGUUCUGCUUCAUGAACUCAAAACCGUCGCCCACGUGCAGGGUCAGCUUUGAGCUGGAGUAGCCAACAGCCAUGCUCGGCAGGAACUUCUUAGAGACCUGGAUGACAUCCUGAGGAGGAGACAGGAAGAAACAGGCUGGCUGAACCCAUGGACAUGGAACCUAUGGAUAUGGAGGGCACCUCCACAGCUGUGCAUCUGCACACACAGUAAAAAGCCCACGAGGAAACACACCACAUUGCCGGAUGAUUAAACUUCUUGUUUGCAUUUUUCUG